rnacentral:misc_RNA from 1 species
CCAACUUUGAGGAGCGCUGGUUCAAGGCUGCAAAGCCUCAUGGGAUUAAAAAACUAAAAAUGUCAUACGAUGAUGCUCUGCUCAGGAUUGAAAGAAUUCCAGAUAUUGUAGGAGUUCUUGAUGCUCCUUCUGUUGGUGAGAAUGAUCCUGAAGCUUGGCAUAUUCAGAUUUUUCGUUCAAUAGAUUCAAAUUCUGUUAAACGCUUCCCAAAGGAUCCCAAAGAUGCCACAAGCAAGAACCUGGUGUGUGGGAAGAAUGUCCUUAUUGACAUGAGCAUACAUACAGCCUAUGUGAAGGCCAUUCGUGCUGCCCAGCAUUUUAUUUAUAUAGAGAACCAAUAUUUCAUUGGCUCCUCAUUCAACUGGAGUUCAUAUAAUGAUUUAGGCGCU